GACGAACGCUGGCGGCGUGCUUAACACAUGCAAGUCGAACGGAAAGGCCCUGCUUUUGUGGGGUGCUCGAGUGGCGAACGGGUGAGUAACACGUGAGUAACCUUCCCUUGACUUUUGGAUAACUUCAGGAAACUGGGGCUAAUACCGGAUAGGAGCUCCUGCUGCAUGGUGGGGGUUGGAAAGUUUCGGCGGUUGGGGAUGGACUCGCGGCUUAUCAGCUUGUUGGUGGGGUAGUGGCUUACCAAGGCUUUGACGGGUAGCCGGCCUGAGAGGGUGACCGGCCACAUUGGGACUGAGAUACGGCCCAGACUCCUACGGGAGGCAGCAGUGGGGAAUAUUGCACAAUGGGCGGAAGCCUGAUGCAGCAACGCCGCGUGCGGGAUGACGGCCUUCGGGUUGUAAACCGCUUUCGCCUGUGACGAAGCGUGAGUGACGGUAAUGGGUAAAGAAGCACCGGCUAACUACGUG
rnacentral:rRNA from 1 species